rnacentral:lncRNA from 1 species
AUUUAAAUAGGAGAAUCACCUAAUGGGCAAGGAAGAGGUUGCGGUGGCAGAGGAAGACCAAGAGCUAGAGGUAUCGCAUUCACAAAACUGAACAUAUUUUAGAUCACAUGGAAGGGAGUGUUUUAGAUGUAGGAUCUUGCAUCAUGGUUAACUAAUUUGCUUUCAUACUCGGUUGUAAUGGCACCAAAAUGCUCAUGUACUUCUUUGAGGAAUUCGGAGAUGGCAAUACCCCUGCUGCUGCAUCUACAAUCCUUCAAAUGUUUGCUUUCUAGUAACAACCUAUAAUAUUGCUUGUUUCAGGGAAUGGUUUUAUGAAUUCUGAGUUGUGACGAUGGAGGUUGUGACCAUAACCAAAGUUAUGCUAAAGGCAAGAGGACAUGAUUUUUGUGGUUGAAGAUGGGGAGGAUACAAUGGACCUCAUGCUGGUCCACAGCACGACAGAGGAUACAAUCAAGAAGCAC